AGACUUGCAGACUGCAGGCAUCUCAGCCCACCCCAUCCUGGUUCUCUCCCAGCUAGGCAUCAAAUCAGCCUGUGGCCUCUGCUGAGGGCGCGCCAAGGGGUGCUUUUUGGACAGGAGAGGGAAGGAGUGGGGCCUGAGACUCCACCAUCAGUCAGACCAGCAGAAUGGUCUCGGAAAGUGUCACUGACUGAUGGUGAUACAUUCUCGAAACGAGACACGGCGCCUGCUCUGCUCCCGCAGGCUGGAGUGAAAAGAGCAGAGUCAGCACAGGCGUCCCAGCCUCUGGAGUCACAAGCAGCUGAUGUCACUGGAGCCCUGGCAGCUCAGCCCCGCUGAGCCAAAGGUCACAGCAGGAGUUAAUCAAGCUUGCAGCUGGGGCUGUGAGCAGGCCAGGCUGGCGGUGGGGGAUGGGCCUGGGGACAAUAACCCCUGACCCAGCCCUGUCCCCUGACACCCCCCCCCACACACACACACCCAGAACUGCAUCCAGAAAGGAUGGUGGUGGUGUGGAGCUGAUUUAUUCUGAAGAAGGAAGAACUAGAAAGCUGCUUCCCCACAUGAAGCCAAGCUAUUGUGGAACUGUAAAAAAGGGACAUGAAUGACUGCUUUAAGACAAACAUCACACCAGCAUUCUAGAAUGAACAUCAUGUUCUGGGUUGAAUCAAGGAGUGGGGAUCUUCAAAGACAAUUCUCAAUGAAAAAUGUAACCAGGAAACAUGGGCAGUCCUGCAGCCAACCAGGGAAGGCGAGUGCAGACUUCUGGUCCACUAGCAAAGGAUA